rnacentral:rRNA from 1 species
GAUGAACGCUAGCGGCAGGCCUAACACAUGCAAGUCGAGGGAGAAGCCCUUUCGGGGGCAGAAACCGGCGCACGGGUGCGUAACGCGUAUGCAACCUACCUUUCACAGGGGGAUAGCCCGAAGAAAUUUGGAUUAAUACCCCAUAAUAUUAUUGGAUGGCAUCAUUUGAUAAUUAAAACUGAGGUGGUGAAAGAUGGGCAUGCGUCCUAUUAGCUAGUUGGAGUGGUAACGGCACCCCAAGGCUACGAUAGGUAGGGGUCCUGAGAGGGAGAUCCCCCACACUGGUACUGAGACAGGGACCAGACUCCUACGGGAGGCAGCAGUGAGGAAUAUUGGUCAAUGGUCGGAAGACUGAACCAGCCAUGCCGCGUGCAGGAAGAAUGCCUUAUGGGUUGUAAACUGCUUUUAUAUGGGAAGAAUAAGGCGUACGUGUACGUUGAUGACGGUACCAUAUGAAUAAGCAUCGGCUAACUCCGUG